GGGCCUGUAGCUCAAUUGGUUAGAGCCGGCGGCUCAUAACCGCUUGGUUGGGGGUUCAAGUCCCUCCGGGCCCA
rnacentral:tRNA from 1 species